rnacentral:rRNA from 1 species
UACGUAGGGGGCAAGCGUUGUCCGGAUUUACUGGGCGUAAAGAGCGUGUAGGCGGCCUCACAGGUCCGUUGUGAAAACUGAAGGCUUAACCUUCAGACGUCGACGGAAACCGUGUGGCUAGAGUCCGGAAGAGGAGAGUGGAAUUCCUGGUGUAGCGGUGAAAUGCGCAGAUAUCAGGAAGAACACCAAUGGCGAAGGCAGCUCUCUGGGACGGUACUGACGCUGAGACGCGAAAGCGUGGGGAGUGAACAGG